UACAUUAUAAAAAGAUAUAUAAUGACAUCAGAAAUAUAAAUUGUAGGAUGACAGAAAGGUAAAAGGCUAGCAUUUUUAUAUGUGACAGCAUUUACUUAUCAGCUUAACAUAGUCGUUCAUAGCUAUGAUUUUUUUAUGUAAGCCUCAGAGAAACCACAAUAUGAGAAGCUACAGCAGGCAUACAAACAUUAAAGAUUAAGGAAUUAAAGCACAGCGGUACAAAAAUAUCACAUCACAAAGGCAGACAAGAGAUGAAGAAAGAAGUAAAUGAGCUACAAAACAACCAACAUAAAUAACGAAGUAGCAGUAGUCUUUAUCAGUAAAAAACUGUAAAUGAAUUCAAUUCACUAAUUGAAAGCAUACAAUGACAAUUAUUAAAAAGUCAAGAAAUGAGAUGAUGAUGAGGUGGCAGAGAAAUAGGAACACAUUGACACUGUUGGUGAAAAUGUAAGAUAGCUUAACCGUUGUGGAAGACAGUGUGGCGAUUUCUUAAGGACCUAGCACCAGAAAUACCAUUUGACCCAGCAAUUCUAUUACUGGGUAUAUACCCAAAGAAAUAUAAACCAUUCUAUUAUAAAGAUACAUGUAUGCAUAUCUUCACUGCAGCAUUAUUCGCAAUAGCAAACACAGGGAAUCAACCCAAAUAACCAUCAGUGAUAGACUGGAUAAAGAAAAUGUGGGACAUAUGGACCACUGAAUACUAUGCAGCCAUAAAAAAGAAAAAACGAGAUCAUGUCCUCUGCAGGACAUGGAUGGACUUGGAAGCCAUUAUUUUCAGCAAACUAAGACAGGAGCAGAAAACCAAACAUCACUUGUUCUCACUUAAAAGUGGAAGCAAUAAUGAGAACACAUGGACAUACAGAGGGACACUGGGCAAUUCAUUGUCUUCAGAACACAUCUGGCCCUGUCAUGGCUAUGUGGAAGCUUGGCUCAGUACAACUCUUCUACUCUACAGAGUUAAAACUACAGUUGGGAGUUGCCUUAACAAUCCUUCUGAGGCUUACAAAAGAGAAAUAGCAGAAGCAGAGAAAGAAUAAUUCUGAAAAAGUAUGAUUGCCAGAGGCUCAAAAAACUUUGGACUUGAUUAAUCUUUCUUGCCAUUAAUUUUGUAACUUGUACACAUCUGUUUCUCCUGUUGAACCUGAACACUUUGAAGGAAGGGAUUUUGAAUAAUUUUUAUCUUCUACAAUGCCAAAUAUGUAGAGGCUCUGAUAAAUAGAAGUGCUCAAUUGUUUGAAAAAGAGGCUGAAAGUUAAAGUUCUAUAAUAAAUUCCUGAAAUUAUCUUUUUUGUGUUUUUUUUCUUUAAGAAAAUCUCCUUUUCUCUUAAAAGUAGAACACUGGAAAAAAAUU
rnacentral:lncRNA from 1 species